rnacentral:rRNA from 1 species
GACGAACGCUGGCGGCGUGCUUAACACAUGCAAGUCGAACGGAAAGGCCCUGCUUUUGUGGGGUGCUCGAGUGGCGAACGGGUGAGUAACACGUGAGUAACCUGCCCUUGACUUUGGGAUAACUUCAGGAAACUGGGGCUAAUAUCGGAUAGGAGCUCCUGCUGCAUGGUGGGGGUUGGAAAGUUUCGGCGGUUGGGGAUGGACUCGCGGCUUAUCAGCUUGUUGGUGGGGUAGUGGCUUACCAAGGCUUUGACGGGUAGCCGGCCUGAGAGGGUGACCGGCCACAUUGGGACUAAGAUACGGCGCAGACUCCUACGGGAGGCAGCAGUGGGGAGUAUUGCACAAUGGGCGGAAGCCUGAUGCAGCAACGCCGCGUGCGGGAUGACGGCCUUCGGGUUGUAAACCGCUUUCGCCUGUGACGAAGCGUGAGUGACGGUAAUGGGUAAAGAAGCACCGGCUAACUACGUG